CUACUGAGAGGAGAGUGAAUGUCUGUGGUGUACAAAAUGCUCUAUAUUUACCAUCAUAAUGAACCACAUACAAGAUUCCACUUCUGGAGAUUAUCUCCCCCUUCCUCUGAGCAGAUUCUGUCAUCACACCCACAUACCACCAUGUACAUCCGGUAAUUUGGAUUUGGAUGGAGUAAUUGGCUGCGCCGGUGGCGCUACUACGAGCUGAUAUGAAUGAUGUGCAGUAGAACAAGGAAGAAGUGCUGUGGGUGAGAUGCAUAUGAUGCCUAUUUGCCACCUUUGAUGACUCUCUGGAGACUACCUCCUGAAUGCCCCCUGCCGACUGACCCUCCUGCUGGUUAAUCUACUGCACAACAUCUUCAGCCUGCUGUGUCAUCUGUACUGCCAUUUCCAAGGCUAUUUGUGAAUGACUUUAGGGAUACGUGAUCCUUUCACUGGUUUAUCCAACUGUUUUGGACACAAGCCAUAGUACAUGGCAGAUGCUGACUAAAGGUACUGCUAACUACCUUGAGGUUCUGCGAUCCUGACUGCCUCUUCAUCUUGUAGAAACUGGUGAAGAUAUAGAUAAAUUCCUCCGAUCAAUCUCAUCCCGAACACAGAUGUUUUGCCACAUGGAUCAGUGCUCCUGAAAGCUCCUCUGGAUGCUGCAAUGUGCACUGGGCUCUGCAAAAACAUUCAGGAGUCAGUGUUGCUGUGGCUUUGGAUUCAGAAACACAGAGAAGCAGAG